CCUACGGGAGGCAGCAGUGGGGAAUAUUGGACAAUGGGGGAAACCCUGAUCCAGCGACGCCGCGUGAGUGAAGAAGUAUUUCGGGACGUAAAGCUCUAUCAGCAGGAAAGAAAAUGACGGUACCUGACUAAGAAGCCCCGGCUAACGACGUGCCAGCAGCCGCGGUAAUACGUAGGGGGCAAGCGUUAUCCGGAUUGACUGGGUGUAAAGGGAGCGUAGACGGCAGCGCAAGUCUGGAGUGAAAUGCCGGGGCCCAACCCCGGAACUGCUCUGGAAACUGUGAAGCUGGAGGGCAGGAGAGGUUAGCGGAAUUCCUGUUGUCGCGGUGCACUGCGUAGCUAUCAGGCGGAACCCCGGCGGCGAAGUCGGCUUACUGGACUGUACCUGACGUUGAGGCUC
rnacentral:rRNA from 1 species